rnacentral:rRNA from 1 species
GACGAACGCUGGCGGCGUGCUUAACACAUGCAAGUCGAACGAUGAACCCGGAGCUUGCUCCGGUGGAUUAGUGGCGAACGGGUGAGUAACACGUGAGUAACCUGCCCUUGACUCUGGGAUAACUGCGGGAAACUGUAGCUAAUACCGGAUACGACCCUCGGCGGCAUCGCCAGGGGGUGGAAAGAAUUUCGGUCAAGGAUGGACUCGCGGCCUAUCAGCUAGUUGGUGAGGUAACGGCUCACCAAGGCGACGACGGGGAGCCGGCCUGAGAGGGUGACCGGCGACACCGGGACUGAGACACUGCCCAGACUCCGACGGGAGGCAGCAGUGGGGAAUAUUGCACAAUGGGCGCAAGCGUGAUGCGGCAACGCCGGGUGAGGGAUGACGGCCUUCGGGUUGUAAACCUCUUUUAGUAGGGAAGAAGCGAACGUGACGGUACCUGCAGAAAAAGCACCGGCUAACUACGUGCCAGCCGCCGCCGUAA